GCUGCGGUGGUGUAAUGGUUAGCAUUUCUGCCUAAUAUGCAAGAAGACCAAGGUUCGAGUCCUGGCCGCGGCG